rnacentral:rRNA from 1 species
CAUGGCUCAGAUUGAACGCUGGCGGCAGGCCUAACACAUGCAAGUCGAACGGUAACAGGAAGCAGCUUGCUGCUUCGCUGACGAGUGGCGGACGGGUGAGUAAUGUCUGGGAAACUGCCUGAUGGAGGGGGAUAACUACUGGAAACGGUGGCUAAUACCGCAUAACGUCGCAAGACCAAAGAGGGGGACCUUCGGGCCUCUUGCCAUCAGAUGUGCCCAGAUGGGAUUAGCUUGUUGGUGAGGUAACGGCUCACCAAGGCGACGAUCCCUAGCUGGUCUGAGAGGAUGACCAGCCACACUGGAACUGAGACACGGUCCAGACUCCUACGGGAGGCAGCAGUGGGGAAUAUUGCACAAUGGGCGCAAGCCUGAUGCAGCCAUGCCGCGUGUAUGAAGAAGGCCUUCGGGUUGUAAAGUACUU